GGGUUUGUUCAAAAUAUCAUCCCAUUUAGAGAAUACUAAUGGAGAUAUAUGUCAUUGCUGAUACUCAUGGAUUGAGAGUUAUGUUAUGAGGAUCAGAUGACACCAAAGUUUACGAAGCUAUAAUUGGGAUGCCAGAGUGAAACAACUUAACUGUGAUAAAGGUACCAAUAGAUGGAACUUAGUGUUGAAACCAACCUUGGAUUAAGAGACUUGAUACAAGGAAUUUAAAAGACUAUGAUGUGUAGCGUCUAAAAAGGAUAGGAGAAUUAGUCCCUAAUGUCCCCCAACCAACCUCGUCUUAAGGGGGUAGUACUUUGGUACCACUGGAAGAUGCAUUUUAAACUAUCAUGAAGUGAUAACUGUCUUCUGAGAUAUCUUAUGGUUAUGUGCAAACAAAGGAGUGAUCUGUGCUACCCAGUGGAUUUUUUUUUAAACCGCACCAUCAGGGAAAAGAAUUGAGUAUCAAGGUGGUCCGCUCCUACCUGAGGAGGCAUAUCCAUGCUAAGUUAUCACGUCUUUGAGUUGUAUGAGUGAAAAGUUGGUAGUCAAGAUGGACCUUGAUCAAUUACGAAUAAUAGACGUUUUAUGGAAAUUUUGUUCACAAGUUGUGAUCCCGAGACACAAGUGUUUGCAUUUG
rnacentral:lncRNA from 1 species